CACAUGUGCACCACCCAGUCUCUCUGGCUGGCAGGAAGCCCCCAGCACACUCCCUGCCCCUCCCAGUAUCUGUGAGGUCAGGGGCCUUCCUAGGCUGCCAAUUUAGCCUCCAGCCAGGCACGCUGGGGACAGGUGGGACCUCCUGGAGCUGCCUGGGGGGCCUGGUGAUGCCAGCCUACGGCAGUCAUACUGCCCACAUUACUGCCAAGAGCCCACAUGGGCAAGGGCCAAAGACCUCCAGCCCACCAGCACCACCCCCUACUCCACCCCAACUUCAGGCCGUGCCUCCAUUUUUCCAGCUGUCAAGAAAGCCCUUACCAAGAGGCCCAGGCUCUGUGGGCUCCAGCUCUGCAUUUCCUGGUUCUGGUGUGGAGACAGAGCAUGAUGAGGAGCAACGAUGUGUCUGCCUGGUUCAUCGCUGAAUCCCCAGGGCCCAGCCCAGCACUUGGCACGUGGUAGGGACUCAACACAUCGCUGCUGAAUGAAUGAAUGUUGGCCCUGCUAGGA